ensembl:lncRNA
GCGUUUCCUACCUUAUGCUAACGAUAUAUGUACCAAUAAACAAAAAACAACAUUCAAAGUGUGCCAAACUCUGAUCUGUGAUCAAUGAGAUCCUUUGAAGAUGAACCAAGUGGAUCAGAGAGACUUUGCAGAUCUUUUGGAACCCAACCUCUCUCAUUAUGUUGUAAAUAAUCUCAGCAGCAAGCUAAAGCGGAAUUUUGUGUCCGCGCGAGCUCGGCACAUCGCAUCCCUUUCAUCUGGGGACUUCAUAAAGUCGCCUGCCACGGCACAGAGGGAUAAAAGACGGUUUGUGUGUGCAUAUCAAGAAAAAUCUCUGCUCCCUUAAACCAAUUCUGUAUGUUCCAGCAUCUUAAAAGAGAGAAGAUUCACAGCUUCUACCGCUGCUGAUUGGCAAGGGACGCA